rnacentral:rRNA from 1 species
UACGGAGGAUGCAAGCGUUAUCCGGAAUUAUUGGGCGUAAAGCGUCCGCAGGUGGCACUUCAAGUCUGCUGUCAAAGACCGGGGCCUAACCCUGGAAAGGCAGUGGAAACUGAAGCGCUAGAGUGUGGCAGGGGUAGAGGGAAUUCCCGGUGUAGCGGUGAAAUGCGUAGAGAUCGGGAAGAACAUCGGUGGCGAAAGCGCUCUACUGGGCCAUAACUGACACUCAGGGACGAAAGCUAGGGGAGCGAAUGGG